rnacentral:tRNA from 1 species
GCCUGGGUGGCUCAGUCGGUUGAGCGUCCGACUUCGUCUCAGGUCGUGAUCUCAUGGUUUGUGGGUUGGAACCCUGCUUCGGGCU